AGAGCCCUUCCAAGAGAAAGAAUGUACAGCUAUAAAGACAGAAGUGGAAAAGGAAAGAUUUCUUCUACAGAAAACUACAUAAACCUAGACUCUGAUGUUUACACGUUUUUCUUGUUACAUCUUGGAACAUCCUCCCCAGAAAGGACAAAUAGCCAAAACACAUAAGCACAGAUGCAGAGUCACUGCCAACAUGGAAAGAACAUUUAUCACAAACCAUCCCAAAGCCUAUACAAAGUAUCAGAUUUAUCACCAUUUCAGAUUUGUGGGUUGUCCUCACAAACACAUUUCAUU